AGUCUCUCCGUCAGUGAUCGUGGUUAUUGUUGCUGUUGUGUUGGCUGUUCUGGUUACUGCUGUUAUUCUUUGGGUGGUUCGCAAACAAAGAGCUGAUAACAGAAAAGGGACUAAUGACUCUGUGGAGCAGAAAGAUGAUGCGACUUACACUGAGAUUGACACAAACUGGAAAAUCGAAGCCAAAAAUAACAAGGUUCAUGAUGACUAUGAAGUGAUUUAUUCUUUUAUCACACAAGCAACU